AAAGGUUCAUGAAUACAUAACUUUUGUAUGACUUGUUUUACUUUGAAAACAAAUCAUCUUGUUGAUUCAAAUCAGUUUCAUCCGUUUUAUUUGUCCCAUAGAUUUUAAAAUAGCUUUCAUUUAAUGUGUAAAUUUGAACCCUGUGA